UACGGGGGGGGCAAGCGUUGUUCGGAAUUACUGGGCGUAAAGGGCUCGUAGGUGGCCAACUAAGUCGGACGUGAAAUCCCUCAGCUUAACCGGGGAAUUGCGCCCUAAACUGACGAGCUGGAGUGGGACAGGGGUGUGUGGAACUUCCGGUGGAGCGGUGAAAUGUGUUGAUAUCGGAAGGAACGCCGGUGGCGAAAGCGACACACUGGGUCUCAACUGACGCUGAGGCACGAAAGCCAGGGGAGCGAACGGG
rnacentral:rRNA from 1 species